rnacentral:rRNA from 1 species
GAUGAACGCUGGCGGCGUGCCUAAUACAUGCAAGUCGAGCGAACAGACGAUGAGCUUGCUCCCCUGACGUUAGCGACGGACGGGUGAGUAACACGUGCAUAACCUACUUCUAAGACUUGGAUAACUUCGGGAAACCGCAUCUAAUACCGGCUCAUAUAUUGUACCGCAUGGUUCAAUAGUUAUUCGCGGUUUUGCUGUCUCUUAUAGAUGGUUCCGCGCCGCCUUAGCUAGUUGGUAAGGUAACGGCUUACCAAGGCAACGAUGCUUGGCCGACCUGAGAGAGUGAUAGCCCAAACUGGAACGGGAACACGGUCAGGACUCCACCGGGAGGCAGCAUGAGGAAAACUUCCGCAAUGGGCGAAGGCCUGACGAAGCAACGCCGGUUGAGUGAUGAAGGUCUCCGGUUCUAAAACCUCUUUGUUUAGGAAGAAACGAAUGUGUAAAUAACUAUGCACGUCUUGACGUUACCUAAGAAGAAAGCCACGGCUAACUACGGG